GACUACAAACGGCGGCCAUUUUGGAUAGGGGAGAAGAAGCUCGCGUUUGGCAGCCAUCUUGCUUGGGGGCAACGUAGCCGUUAGGACCGUUGGAGGCACGGCGUGGGAGGCGGCGCGGUGCGAGUGCGGCGCAGCAGCGCUGCUCCCGAGUUGGGUCUCGUUGCCGGGAGCCGCCGCAUCGCAGGCUGCAGUCCCGCUGUCCCUGGAACCAGAGGUGCGCGGUGACGGCUUGCGGUAACGGCUGUGGUGGCGGCCGGCUCCCGCCGCGCAUCCCUCAGGCUCCGCCCCCUGAAGCUUCCCGUUGACUUUAAAAAAAGCCGCAUCGUCUUCGCUGUCUGACGUUGUGUGCGCCACGCACCGAGCCUUCUGCAGGUGCCCACCUCUUCUCACACAUGUUAACAGCCCCCAGAGAUAGGGGAAGUGUGAACAGCUUGCAGUAUUAGAAGCUGUUGUAUGCAGGCAUGUGGCAGGAGCUUUCAGUUCCUUGUCCUUAGCAAAUUCUAAGUUCCACCAGCACUGGAAGUCACUUCUUCACUAAGGUCCAGUUUACACUGAGCUGUCAUGGCAUCCGACAAAUUUGUCAUUAAGUGUGGGAACUUUGCUGUUUUGGUGGAUGUCCAUAUUUUGCCUGAAGGCUCCAAUAAAGACACCAGCUGGUUUUCAGAUCAGGAAAAGGAGGAGGUCUGCACAUGCCUAGAAGAGGUGGUUGUUUCACGGAUCAAACACUACUUGGAAGCGCCUAAACAACGUGGUCAAUGGAAGUCAAUGGAACAUGCAUCAUCAAGUCCUCUGUUUGUUACAGCCAACAAUUUUCACAUUACUGCCUACUUUAUGAAGAGAUGGGUUAAUCUCCGUUGUGCUCUAGGGAAACAUUAUCGUGAGCUACGUAUGUUUCCAGACAAAUUUGUUGUUUGUAUCAGUAAACUUGAAUUUAAUCCAAGUGCUUGGACAUGUGAAAACGGUGCAUUGAAAGAAGUUUCCAAUGGGACAUCUGAAUAUUUUGCUGAAUCUGCUGAGAACAGAAAGCUUAAGCUUAGUCUGAACGAACAGAUAAAGCAAGAUAUCUUGAAGGAAAUUGUGAAAAGGACAAAAAAGGGGAAAAAUAGCGUGAGCAAACCUCAAACCAGCAAGGACUCCAAGAAAGUGGAUCUUGGCUCACUGGGCUCACAGACAGGGAACAGAAAGAAUGACUGUCAAACUUCUCCCGGUCCUCAAUCAGAAGUGAAAUGGAGGAGCACAGGGCGGCUAAAGAACUGCAUAAAUACAGCUGAGAGCAACUUGGAGUUUCCUGUUUUAGAGCUGGAAAAUAAUGUUAAUCAAAGACAGCCAGAGGAUGCUAGCAGCCAGCAAAAACCUCACUUUGUGGAGCAGUUGAAGUCAAGACUUCUAAGCAAGAAUUCUCCUUGUAGCUAUGAGUCAGCACUGCUAGGCCCAAAACAAAAUCAAAAAACAACCGAAACGCAGGCUCAACAAAAGAGUUGUAGUUCAGAAGAAAAGUUAGACCUUUUCAAAGAAAUAUCCUCUGAAGAGGCUCCUUUAAUUCCUAGCAACACAGAAAGGAGUAAGUGCAGCGAUGAUCAUUUAGGUCUGUUCUUGGAGGAGAAGACCCCACUUAAUUCCAGGUUGUUUUCUAAACAAGACUUAACAGAAAUUGCAUCUGAUGAAGAGUUAAUUACUUUUGGAAAAAACCUCUCCCGGCCUCUUCCUAUGAGGACAAACCAAAACGAGCCAGGCACAGCCACUGAAGAGUUACCUGUGGUGCCUUCAUCGUCCUAUUUAGAAAUGCAGGCCGUGUCUUCAGAGCAGCUGAUCCAAAAAAGGAAAAAAGAAGCCUGUUUACAUGUUACUCACAGUGCUUUGCAGUAAGGUUGCUAAUGCUUACCAAUCUCCAGGCUCUGCAGAAAGGUCUUUCGUAGUAACAAGCAAAAGGGAGGCUGCAAAUGAACCUGUGUUUGGAAGAAUAGCCUGAGGCGAUUUCUUCUCAUGGGAAAAAGCUAGAGGAAUCUCUCCAAUGGGUAAUCACACACAGCUCGUGGCAAGUCUGACUUCCCUUCUAAAAAUCUCAGGUGACAAACUACAUCCUAAUUAAACUUUUUUAAAUAGCUAUUUCAAUUGCAGCCCAUUCAGGGUCAGUGGGAAAAUCUUAAUAGUUUGUGUAUAAGAAAACAGCCAAUCCAACUUAUGCUUCUUUGUGUGCAGAGAACAUGAAAGAAAGACAGAGCAGGCAAAAACAACCUCUUUCAAGUAGCUGCUGGAAAAUCCUUCUAGUACAGGGAAGGUUGUAAGAAUGCAGAACGAUAAAAAAAAAUUAGAAACAUUCCCUUUUAAUUUGUAUUGCAUUGAUAGCAACUUGCCUAUGAGCCUGGAUGGUAGCAAAACUAAUGGACCUCACCUGCAAAAACAAGCACUCAAAUCUAGAAUUUUACUCCUUUCUGCCAAAGGUUUUUUGUUUGGUUGAUUUUUUUAAAAUCAUUUUCUUUAAAGCAAAUUUAAACAGAAGUAAUUAAAAAGGAAAACCACACAAAAGAGCAGAAGCUGUGGAGCUGAAGAUAUGGCUUUCUUCAGACAAAUUAACUUCAAAGUACGACAAACAAAAUAAGACAAACUCUAUGGGCAUUAAAAAAAAAUGGGUAUCAAUUCCAGAACCAGAUUCACGGCAAUAAUUCCUGUUCAAUUAUACGUAGCAACAGUUUUUCAUGAGAAAUAGAAAGUUAACUUUCCCUGCAUAAUGAUUCAUGAGUAAAUUUGGGCUCGUUGGCAGGCUUGCAUUGAAGAAAGUGACUUGCACCAAAUGAGAAAAGGAUAUUUUAAGAAUGUUUGCAAGUUGUCUGUUGUACCAGAACCCAGAGCAGUUUCUGCUAGGAUGUUAUUUUUAAACUCUGUUGCAUUUGUAACAUACAGGCUAUAUGACUCAUCAAAACUUAAAAGAAAAUAAAAUCUUGUUUCUGAGUUCACUUUAAAGAUAUUGGUCUAACUUGGCAAGCAGAAGUUAUCUGAAAGCACCAGAAGGACAGCAUUGUUUCAAGACUAUGCAAAUCAAGUGUGGGAAAGUUGCACCUUAAGUAAAUAAGAGCACUAGUGCAUGUCUGGGCAGUGAGUGGGAGGUAAGAGACUUAGAAAGAGAAAGGAAAAAAAAAUCUGGAAACAAAGCCUGUUGUUCUAACUAGGAGACAGCAACCCUACAAGGCAUGUUUAUUCUGAUGACAGAAGCACAAAAUCACUGGUAGCCUUGACUGACACGCUCCUCUCACCAUCUGGACCCCCAGUAUUUCCUCCUACUUGCUUGGCUUUUUUUUUUUCUUUUUUUUUUUAAUUGACAUAGAUCUAUACGGUGUUUUGGAGGUUUACCAGCCUAUAUCAGCACUGCUAAACAUUUAGAUCCCUUAGCAUAAACCAGAGUAAGCCCAUCCCGUGGCUUGACUUUCACUUUGUCACGUUGCUUGCAGAAGAUGAGAAGUUACUUCCUACCUUACUUUCAGAAAGUUCCUUGAUAAAAUUGUUUUGUUUUAAAACACAGAUUACAGAGACAGUGCACUGUGAUUAUUUAGGCUGACCUUUUAUAUAGCAUAGGCUGUCAGACACCUCAGAUUUAAUUCCUGUUUGAACUACAGCUUAUCUGGAAAGAAAAGCAGCUCACUUCAUGCAAACGUCUCCAGCAAUGGAGAAUGCACCAGUAUGUUUGUUAAGCAGAAAAAAAAGACUUCUGUUCCUUCAGAUUUCAGUGUUUUACUCAUGAAUAACCAAGCUUUACUUUUAACCCUUCCUACACAGGAUCAAUAUCACCGCUUUGUAGUCUCAGAAGUGCUGAGCUCCCUAUUCCUUAGAAACAGGCAUGAGAAAGAAUUACAUGAAAACACAACCAGUUUGCUCAUAAGGAAUGAGGACGUUUUAAUAUCUGUUAACCCUGUGUCAGUAAUUUUGAAAAUCUCCCUGUGCCAUAAAUAUAUGCUGUAUAUUUUGAAGCAUUCCAAAUAUUUAGUUGUUGGGUUAUGGAUAGACUCUGCUUCUCAUUGUCUCCUUGCCAGGACAGAAUGGACUUCAAAGCACAGCAGCAAAAUUCUACAUUCAUCAGAGCCUACUGACAAGAUUUCAUCCCAGCUAUUAACCUCUCAGCACUCUGAGCCUGGCUCACAAUGGCAAAGGAACCAAAAGAUUUAACUAAUCCUAUUCUAAAGAAUGCUUGACUUUUGCCUACUGAUGGAAGAAAGCAGGGGAGGAGGGAGAAAGGAGGAAAUGUGAGUGAAAGAGAGAAGAGAGGAAAGCCACACCGUACUUCAAGCUUGUAAUUGAAACAGCCUGAAAUUGGUAUUGAUACUGGAGGGGAAAAAGACAACCAAAAAUAAAAUCAAAACAAAAACCCAACCCAUAAGACAUUUGUGCUAUUUAUGCAGAAGCAAUUAGUCAGUGCUCAUUAGGCAGUAUUCACAUGAUUUAUCCUACUUUGCCCCCAGCCCUAAAAAUGCCACCAUUUCACAAACCAAAAGCUUCAAAUUAUCAGUGCAUUAAAAGCCUGCUCACCCCUUAUUCUGGGCAAGUCUGCAUGAAUAAUGUGCCCUGCUCAGAAACAUGGCUCCAGAAAUACUCUCCCCUCCACAAUCCUACUGUGUUUAGCAUCACUCAUUAAAUUGCUUGGUGGGGACAAGGAGAGAGAGAGAGAGAGAGAGGGAAGCAUUUACCUGCACUCUCCCGGAACUGUGCAAGAACCAUGCUUGGGGCUACAUCCCUGACGACAAAUAGCUGUUAAAAAACAAAACAAAAGAGUAUCAGCAUGCAGCCUGCUUCUUGCAUCUUCACACUGGUGGGAAGGUUUUAAUCUCUAACCACCACUGUAAUCCUACUAAAUCCAAGGUUUCGACAAGUCCCUCAUAUCAAGUCUAUUAGAAAAUGAAAAAAUAAAUAAAGUAGAUUUCAUAACACAGGGAGUCACCUAUCAGCUAGAUUUACAGAGGAAUGAUACCUAGUACUGUUCAAGGAGUUGUUUCUAUGUAAGAGAAACCACUUCACCUUUGAGCUGCAAGUCACCGAGUCUACAAGUUUAUUUUCCUCUGCGGUGAACUGGCACACUUUCCCUAUCUUUACAUCUAAUUCAAAGCAACUUUUUAACUACUCUUUACAUUUGAGACCUAUCUCUGAACAGACAGGAUAUUAAGAUGAGCGUCUAUUCAAAUUGCAGUUAAACUCAGUCAGCAAGACAUGCUGAUAAACUGUUCCUAUUCACAGUCCUGCUUUCUCCUUCUGAAAUUACUUAGGAAGUUGCCAUUCCCUAAUAAACACACUGAACAUCAGCUCAGGUAGAACAAACACCCGCGGACUUUUCAAAGACCAAAGCUUCACACUUGCCAGGUCAGCUCUGAAACAAGUCUCUCUUUCCUGCUUGUCUUGAAGUUCUGCACCAAAGGGGAAAUCCUGCCAUUGAAGUCAGCAGCAGAACUCCCAUUGAAGUCAGUGGGCUGGGUUUUCUUCCCAAGGGCAAAGAUGUGGAUGCUCAGAGAAAGAACACAUCUGCUAAGUACCCAGUACUAGCAAGAUCUCUCCAAGAUUUUAAAUACAAGGCAGAAACUAGUCUUGUCCUGCCCCUGUGUAACAAGUUACUCACUGUCCCAUCAGUCCUCAGCCCUACUGUCAACACAAACCGAUCACUGAAUUGCAACUUGGAUACAAAGAACUCAAGUCCUAUCCAAGACUAUUGAUAAUCCGGGGUUCAGGCAUUUGUCACAAACCUUUGUU